AAUGCACCAAUUUGUAAGUCGCUCUGGAUAAGAGCGUCUGCUAAAUGCCUUAAA
rfam:Salmo salar isolate Sally breed double haploid chromosome ssa17, whole genome shotgun sequence.